UACGUAGGGGGCAAGCGUUGUCCGGAAUCAUUGGGCGUAAAGAGCGUGUAGGCGGCCAGAAAAGUCCGCUGUGAAAACUCGAGGCUCAACUUCGAGCUGUCGGUGGAAACUUUCUGGCUAGAGUCCGGAAGAGGAGAAUGGAAUUCCUGGUGUAGCGGUGAAAUGCGCAGAUAUCAGGAAGAACACCCGUGGCGAAGGCGGUUCUCUGGGCAUGUCCUGACGCUGAGGAGCGAAAGUGUGGGGAGCGAACAGG
rnacentral:rRNA from 1 species